CCCGCUAUAGCUCAGUGGCUAGGCUUUGGGCUCUAAACCAAAAGGGCGCAAUUCGAAAACUUGUUGGCGGGG